GCGCCACAGCCAUCCCGGCGAUGCGUUCAGGUUCGGUCCCGGCAGUAAUAGGCCAGCUGAGGGCGGUCGAAACAACGCCGAUUCCUGGGAAACGAAAGUAGAAAGUAGACGAAGCUCUGCCUCCUGGCGCCUUGGGGGCGGAAGCGGAGGAAGCGGGUCCAGAGCCGCGCGGGCUGAAAGACACUGCGGGAGCUCAAUAACCUUUCCCGGAGAAACGGGGGAGCCUGGAACUCUGCAGCGAUGCAGAGAUUUGACUCUCAGCGUCCCGCUGCAAGCCGCAGGAGGGUCCAUGUGUACGACCACCGCUCCGAGGGACGCACGAGCCAGCCGAAGCUGCUGGACACAAGCGGACUGGACAUCAAUGAGUUCCGUCGACUUCUUCGCCGGGAAUUUUCACUCAAUGGAAACGAGUCGUAUGAAUUGUUCACGACUGACAGGAUUAUCGUGGAUUUUGACAAAUUUAAUGAGAUUAAGGAUGGCGCCACGCUCUACUUGAUGCAAAGCAAGCACCAGCAGCUGCCGGGGGCAACAGUGGAGCCCAUCUCCUUCACGCCUCACUACCACACGCUGACCGAGGCCGGCACGUACGAGUACCACGCCAGUGAGGGGAGCAAGGCAUUACCGUUUGCUCUUGCCGAGCUGAUUGACAACGCCCUUUCUGCCACAUCUAAGAACAUCGGCGCGAGGACAAUCGAGAUACGAAUGAUGUUCGAUGGAAGUAUUGGGAAGCCUGCUCUGAUCGUCAUGGAUAACGGGUGCGGGAUGACGUCCACGAAGCUUAAAAACUGGGCCGUGUACAAGUUGUCCAAAUUUACAAGAGACGACGGCGCCUUUUCAAGUGAGCGGGAGCGGUACGCUAGGCCCGAUCCCGUACGACGCAGUCUCAACAGCGACAUAUCCUACUUUGGAGUUGGUGGAAAACAGGCCAUUUUUUUCAUUGGCAACUCAGUCAGGAUGAUCACCAGACCUGCAGACUCUCCGGACGUUCACGAGCUGGUUCUAUCAGAAGAGGAAUUCAAGAGAAGAGAGGCAAACAAAGAGGAAAUAUUCAGCGGUUUCAUUAAAAACAGACGGCCCGGAGAGUCCUCCCAGCAUGACGAGCGCUUCCUUCAGAACCUCAUCGCCGAGGAGCGUGGGAAGGAGAGCUUCACGGCCGUCGUCAUCACAGGACUGCGGGACGAGCACAUCGCCGUCAUGAAGAACGAGUUCGGCGCGCUGACCAGAGAGCUGGCGCACAUAUAUCACUAUUACAUUCAUGGGUCCAAUGGAAAUAACCUGAAAUUCCCAGAUCAGAACAAUCAAAUCGACAUUCAGGUAACUCUGCGGGAGAAACCUCCAAAGAUUCCUCGUGCGAUAAACCUGAGAGAGGUGGACGAUGACAUGCAGACUCUGUACAUCAACAGUGCUGCGGACACGUUCGAGUUCACGGCCUCUUCGCUUCACGGCGACGCAAACCUGGAGGGAAUCAUCCGAUAUCAUCCCUUCCUCUAUGAUAAGGAGACUUACCCUCAAGAGCCCAGUGCGGAGCAAGCUUCAGCUCUUGAUGAAGAUGAUCUCCAGAAUCGAGGGAGAGGAAAGAAAGCGAUCUUUGAAUGUUUCUGGAACGGACGCCUCAUACCCUCCACCACAGUGUCUGAGUUUGACUGGUGCUCUCGGUCCAGUAAACGAUCCGACGAGCCGCCUGCAGAAUGCUAUAAUCGGCUUUCGGGGGUGCUUUUCACUGACGAUGGAUUCAAAGUGACCCAGAAUAAGCUGACCUUCAUGGACCUGGAGCUGAAAUUGAAGGAAAAGGAUGUGAUUUUCAGACUGGUUUCCCAAAGACAGAACACAGCGAGACGAGGCGACAUCAAGAGGGAAUUCAGUCAGUGGCUUUUAAACUGCCACACGCUUUAUGACAAGCAAGUGAAGUUUAUUGGCUUAAAGGACACGUUCGAGCGGGAUGACCCUAAAAAGAAAAUGACGGAGCACUGGACGGCCUUCUCCGCCAUCGAAUGGGACGGCAGAAGAUUCAGAGCAGGCGAGCGUGUGAGAUCUUGCAGAACAAACCCGAGCUAUUACGGUACUGUGGCUGAUUUCUUGCUGUGUGGAAAAUACAGUGGCGAUGUUUUUGGCGCCGGAGGACGUGUGAAAAUCACCCGUGAGCCGAGAGCUCUCUAUAGUGAGAAGAAGGAAUUUCCUAUUUCCAAGAUUGACCGGGACGCCACCGACGCCUCCAUCACAACAUACAUCAACAACGAACUCCUCAAGUUUCCAAAGGAGCUGAAAGUGGAGUGGCCCGAAAGUGACCCCUGGCCCGACAACGCCGUUCGCUCCGCUGGGAGUUCUUUAGGGCCACUCAAAAUUACAAUCCUGAACGGUAAAGGAGAGUCAAAAAACUUAAUCCCUUCAGGCUCCACGGGGGGCAGAACAACACUGAAUGUUAAAUUCAGUCUGGUCCACCAUGGUCAUGAAGAAAAGAAAACGGAACACGUUGCUCAGUAUUCAGCUGCACAUGGUUUCUGGUUUACUAAAACAGACAUGAUCGAACUGGGAAACUACACGCUGUCGCUGAACGCCAUAGUCAGUGAAAACGGCUCCACUGAGUUCAAUGGCACAGAACUUCCAAGCCACACGCUCAAGUUCACGAUCACUGCUGGAGCUGCACAGACCUUCAUGGUGGAACCACUGACCACUCCUGUUCGUGUCGGCGUGCCGUUUAACAUCCGACUCAAGGUGACGGACGGUCACGGCCAUCCAGCAGAAGCUCCUGUACAGCCCCAACCUGAACUCUCAAGCAGUGACCUGGCAUUGAGUCUCACGACAGCGGUCAGCAGCGGGAACAUGAUCACCAUCCAGGGUGUCAAAGCAGCUGGAAAACUCCGGGAGGAGAGUGUUGAGCUUCACGUGUCUCUUCCUGGUCUGAGAAAAGACGCUCAGUCGAUCAAGAUCAACAUUCGUCCUGGUUUGCCAGAUUCCGUCUCUGUGACGCCAAAAGAAGACCCGAUCCAAGUGGAGAAUGGAAAUGAGGUCAUGUUUCACGUGGAAGUUCACGAUGAGGCCGGAAAUGUUACAACUAACCCCAGACAGACCGUUCGAUGUCAAGUUCAAGAUUGUCGACCGCAGACGAUCGACUGCAGCAGCGCGGGAGCUGGCCAGUUUUCCACCAAGCCAAUCAACCUGAAAAUAACCAAAGGAGAACCACAACCCCUCCAAGUCUCAUUUGAGAUGCCCAACCAUAAGGAUGUAAGUCCGGUGAAGCGGGAGCUGCUGGUGCUUCCCAGCAUGCGGGUCACCUCAAUGGAGCUCUAUGUUGUUCUCAACAAUGUGAAUCUGGAGAUCAAACCCUUUGACAAGAUCAGCUGGAUAGCGGGAGGCCUGUUGGAAAACCUCUUUUACAGACUGUUGGAUGAAGCUGGAAGAGACGUGGAACUGACUCCUGAAGUCGUGUCAAAGAUCAAGGUCACCUGGACAGGCGUAAACAUGGAAGAGAUGGAGCGGGGGAAGCUGCCUGAUAUACCGGUGCCGAAGCAGGCGCAGGAGGAGCGCGCCUGCCAGGUGUUCUACGAACACAGCGUGUCUCUCUCCUUCACCGUCGUGCCUCUUCCAGAUGAACCCACUAAGCUAAAAGUCACUUUGCCUCAGAGUACGGUGAAGCUUGGUGAAACUCUGCCUGGAAACAUCUGUUUGGAGCUUGUAGACAAGUACGACAAUCCAACCAGAAGCCUUACCCAGACCUGCUCCGACCAAAUGAAUGUGGAAGCUGAAGGUUUGGACAAAGCAGCGGUCAGCUUUGCGUGGCAGGAUUCCAGCCGCUCUGUGGCAGUGAGCGGAGUGUGUUUCACAGGAGGCACUCCUGGCCCCCGGGAGAUGAGUUUCUCCUACCAGAGCUUCGUGGAGCUCGUCGUCGUCAGAGUGACCGCCGGAGUCCCUGCGAAGCUGACGCUGCUCAGCACUCCGCCGCAGCCUUUGCAGUUUUUAAGUGGCACGGGGAGCGACACGCCGUUUGUGGUCCAGCUGUGUGACGAGUGGGGAAACCCCUCUGAUGACCAGACAGCUGAGGUGAAAAUCACAUCCUCUCCGCCGGGCCUGAAGGUGACAACAUCUGGGAAUUCCCAUCAUGUGAACGCAGAAGGAAAAGCCUCUCUCAUGGUUGAUAGUGUGUCCGGCCCAAAGGGGCCCUAUCAGCUGAUGUUUCAGGUUUCCUGCAAAGACCGACUCAUCUCCAGUCCAUCAGUGAACCUCAUCGUCAUCCCUGAUUCCAAAAAGCCUGUCAAGCUGUUGGUAGAGUACGACAGAACUGCCAGGUUGGCCGCUGGGCGGUUCUUCCCAGUUUUUGCAGUGACUGUGGCGUCUGAGGAAGGAAGUCCAGUUACUUCUUUUGAGCCGGCUGCUCUGUCCAUGCGGCUGUGGAGGAGCGGACCGUCCGGGAACGCACCGCCGGAGGAGCCCAUGGAGAUGAAGUGUAGUCGGCCUCUGGACAAUGACAGAAAGGACCGUUAUUACUUCAGAGAAAAAGAAAUCCCAGCGAUCACUGGAAGACACGUCAUUCAGUUUUCUCUGCGCAUUAACGACAAUGAACUCCUUUCCGGUGAUGAGAUUCCUGUGGAUGUCGUGAGCGAUCAGCCGGUCAAACUGGGACCUGAAUCUCCAAUCCUUGAUCCGGUGGUUUCCUCCACUGAGGACAUUGCGAACCGAACACUGGUGGAGAACAUGACUCUGUUCAUCAUGGACUCGCACGGAAACCCAGCCGGUCAGGACCUGAAUGGGAAGGUGGUCGUUUCCAUAACGUGCGCUCAGUCAGGGAGAAACCACAGCCUCCCGCUGUUUGAAGGAAGUGUCACCAGAGCCCAGUUUAAGCUGGUCAAUGGGAAGGCACACAUCCCCAGGCUGGCGAUCAUGAAGAACAGCCCCGGAGAGAACGGCACCUCCUACGUCCUUCGGUUCAAAGCCGAAGUGUCCGUUUCGCUGGCUCCUUACAGGCUGCACUUCUUAUUCUCCAGCGAUGCACAGAAGCAGCGGAUGAUGUCGGACCUGACCAAGAAGAAAGCUGAGCUCACCUCUUGUCUCGCUACUUAUAAUGAAUAUUUAUCGACUUUUACAGACCUCUGUGAAUUGUUGACAGCUCAGUGCCAGAAGGCAAAUCAGACGGAGGCUGAAGUUCGAGAUGAGCUGAAAAAGAAGAACAUACCGAUUCGUCUACCUGUGUCUAUUGUGGACAUUGAUACGAUGAUCAGCAAGAAGACAGCCGAAGCUGAAAGAGUGCAAAGAAGGACCUGCAGCAUCCCCGACCCUUUCACAGGACAGCAGGACGUUUUAGGAAAGGUGGGCCAUUUGGCCCAGCUGCAGGACGACGACGCUGCGAGGGUCAUCUCCUGGAACAUCGGGGGCCGUUUGGACUGCGUCGUCACCAGAACGACGGCAGCAGCACAGAAGAUCCACGGCGACACGCGGGGCGAGCAGCAGGUCUGGCCUCUCGACAGCAUGUCUGCGCCACCAGCGAACAGGCCGCUGCCACACAUACAGAGAGGCCGCCCGCUGUUCGAUCCCCCCGGGAACCCGGUGCUGGCCAGAGAGCUGCUGAUUUACCCCCAACAUGAGCAGAGCUGUAAAAUGGUGUUUCAAAACCUCCUUGGAGAUACCAUCCUGAUCGACGACCUGGACUCUGCAAACCAGUACAGAAGAAUGGUAGUGCAGAAGAAGAUCUACUGCCCCACCAUACUGACCAGGCAGGGGGACAGGGUCGAGUCUAAAGGCAUCUUUGGGGGCGCACAGAAUAAAGCCCCACCGAUGGACAGACUGAAAGUGCUGGCAGCUCCGUUUCCAGAGAAUUACCACACCAUCGAAGAGCAAAAAAGUGAAGCUGCUCACUCAGUACCGCUCAGCUUUACUGAACAAGGAAGAAGCGGAAAAGGAGCUCAAACAACAUUUAGACACCAACAAUAAAGAGAAACAGCAAGAGAUGGAGAACAAACAAAAGGAGCUGGAAGAAGUUGACCGUCAACUCGCAUCUCUCCAAGCAAAACCAACAAAACGAGGUCUCCCAGAUACCCCUGACUCAUCAGGCAUCUCUGCAAAAAUAGCAAAGAUGUAAUCCAGUCCACUUUUUAAAGAUGUUGAUCUAUUGAAUGUGAUUUGUUUAACUUUUUUAUUACUUACUAUUUUUGAAAUUGUCAAAACCGCACAUGAGAUUUUUUUGACAUGUUGUACUGCACCGAAAGUCACGUGAAACACAAGAAAAAUAAAAACAUUUUG